CUCAAACAAUGUCCCUCCAGCCCCGUGACAGGGCUGAGGCAUUUCAUGAGCAUGUGCUCCAGAGAGAAACCCUCGGAAAACAACUCUCUUAAACAAAUAAACAGCUCAGCUCUUGAACUUUAUGCUCCUAAUCUCUGUCAUCAUUAAUCACAUUCAGAGUUUGACUUUAAAAGCCUGAAAGGAAGAGAAAGGAAAAGAGAAAGGAAGGGAAAAAUAAACUCCUUGCCUCAGAAAACUUGCGAAACAUAUAUAGAAACUUGAAACUCGCCUUUAGGUCCUACAAAAACUAAAGAAAGGAGGGAUGCAAAAAGAGUUCAAAGUGGGUGUCCUGAAAUGGUACCCUAUAAAUUAGCAUGAAUAAAGUCACUCCUGGGCAUGGCACUGGAAGUCAUUAUUUCCACAUUUCUGGGAAUAUCUCUUAUUUGGACCUCCUUAGAAACUCCACGGAGGAGCUGGGAUCCAUUGAUAAAGUUAGCUGAGGCACCUGUAUUUGUGCUCUUUCCCUUACGAUGAAGGAAAUAGUGCCUUGGGGAUGUUAUGCACUUUGCCGGAGAAGUAAAGGGGACCCUGAGAUGACUGGGUAUAAAAAGGAGAGAGAAGUCAAUGACGAAUAGGAGGAGAAAAAGCUGGCCCUGGUGCCAUAUGAUCGGUCCAACAGCCACAGCCACAGCAUUUAUUAUGUAGCUACUGUGUCACAGCUCCAAGCUAGUGCUGAGGGCAUAAAGACUAAAGAUGACACAGUUCCUGCCCUCAAGGAGCUUGUGUUACAUGGGGGAGACAAGGUGUCCCUAUGUUGGUUUGUGCGUGAGAGGAUCUAUACUAGCAUUUGGAAGGAUCCAGAAAGCCUUAUGGGGAGAUGCUGAGCUUGGAAAGAAAAAUUGUGACAAGCUGGUACUAUGACCUGCCCAAAGUCCCUCCAUAAGCAGAGUGGCCUUGGGCUACCUGGGUUUAAUAAUAAGAGAAAAAAGAAUGGCAAACAAAACGGGAGUAUGGGCUUCUCCAACCCUGACUGCUCCCUAGUGUGACCAUCGAGACAACAGAGCUAACUGCUACAUGGGAGCAAAUUUGAUGCAAGACCCAAGAGCAGCUCAUUUAGUGGAGUCCUCCUAAAAGAUCUAUUUCAUCUAUCUCUCAAGUCAUCUUUGAGAGAAAGUUGGGAAUGGGACUAUGUAUUAGCUAAAACUGGCUGGUUCUCUCUUA